rnacentral:sRNA from 1 species
UAUUAACAAGCGCUGAAUUCACAGUAUGUGAAGCGGGGGACCCGAUAAUAUGGGGUGAAUCCGAUGCAUUUAAAUGCAUUGGAGGGGUCAUACUCUUUCGAUCCUAAUCCGUCAGCUAACCUCGUAAGCCAAAGAAAGAGGAGGU